GAUGAAGAACGCAGCGAAAUGCGAUAAGUAGUGUGAAUUGCAGAAUUCAGUGAAUCAUCGAAUCUUUGAACGCACAUUGCGCCCCAUGGUAUUCCGUGGGGCAUGCCUGUUCGAGCGUCAUUUACCCCCUCAAGCUCCGCUUGGUGUUGGGCGUCUGUCCCGCUUCGCGCGCGGACUCGCCCCAAAGGUAUUGGCAGCGGUCGUACCAGCUUCUCGCGCAGCACAUUGCGCUUCUCGAGGCACCGGUGGGCCCGCGUCCAUCAAGCUCACCCCCCCAGUUUGACCUCGGAUCAGGUAGGGAUACCCGCUGAACUUAAGCAUAUCAAUAAGCGGAGGA
rnacentral:misc_RNA from 1 species